rnacentral:rRNA from 1 species
AACGCGAAGAACCUUACCUGGGCUUGACAUUUAGGGAAAAGCCGUAGAGAUACGGUGUCCUUCGGGGUCCUAAACAGGUGGUGCAUGGCUGUCGUCAGCUCGUGUCGUGAGAUGUUGGGUUAAGUCCCGCAACGAGCGCAACCCUUGUCCUAUGUUGCCAGCGGGUAAUGCCGGGGACUCGUAGGAGACUGCCGGGGUCAACUCGGAGGAAGGUGGGGAUGACGUCAAGUCAUCAUGCCCCUUACGUCCAGGGCUGCACACAUGCUACAAUGGCCGGUACAACGGGCUGCUAUCCCGCGAGGGGGAGCCAAUCCCAAAAGCCGGUCUCAGUUCGGAUUGGAGUCUGCAACUCGACUCCAUGAAGUCGGAGUCGCUAGUAAUCCCGGAUCAGCAACGCCGGGGUGAAUACGUUCCCGGGCCUUGUACACACCGCAUAC